ensembl:lncRNA LINC01968 long intergenic non-protein coding RNA 1968
AAGUGAGUCCUGUUCAGCGUGGGAGGAAAUAACACAAGAGGCAAAGAUCACUCGGGACCACCUUGUAUAUUGGCUACCACAGAACCCAACACAAGCAGUUGUGAGUGAGGAAUGGAUGCCAUUGUUAGUGGCUUCCGUUGUGCUCAGUGGAAACACGCAUCUACAGGUAGAAUGUAGAGGAACAGCCCAAUUCAGCUGUCUUGUGGAUUUCAGGCUGUGGUCUCUCUGCCUCUCUCUGGAACACAGGAGGAACUUUGCUACUGCCUUGACCAACAGAAUAUGGGGGAAGCGACAUUGUGUGAAUUACAAGCAGGGUGACUAACAGACCAUCAGAGUGGCAGGAAAUUGGAGAAUCGCUACGACAGUCACCCAGCCUGGCUGGCAGCAUUGAAAGAACAAACAAGUACAUCUUCCAUAAAGACCGCGCCCUGAGCUCACCAUUCCUCUUUCUGAGAGAGCUGAGGCAGUUCUUCCUUCAGGGGAGCAACCAUUGUUCUAGGCUCAAAGCAAGUCUGAGAGAGACGCACACGUGUGGGAUUCUAGGACCUUGACCCUCCACCGCAAACAGAGGCACUCACCUCUGCAUUCUGGGAAACGGCAGUCUGUGUGUCAGCCAGAUAAACACUUAAGUUCAGGGGCAUCUGACAAACAGCUGUCCCCACCGACCUUGUUUUGUUGGUCCCAUUUUCACAACUGUUGAUGUGGCUUCCUGAGUUCCUGACCACUUGAAUAAACAACCAAGAGCAGCAGCCUCGACUCCCUGCAGGACCCUGCGCAGGCCGCGCUGGGCAGCUGUCCAUCAGCACCCCUGUGCACACAGAGAGCAGGCAGCAGACCAGCGCCCUGGACGGCUGGUACCGACGCCCUCCAUCUGUCCGUCUGUCCCCAGGGCUGGGUGGACAGGGAAAUCUCUUUACAGUGCAGACAGCGGAGCCUGGUGUUGAGACCAACUGACCUGAUCUUGAAAGGACUGCAUUCUCCUGCCACUGUCUGGCAGAUUCCAGCUUGGGGCCUGUUUUCUGGAGCUAGCUGUCACAUGAACCCCAGCCUGCUGGCUGGGAGAUCCAGCCAGGUCCAGAAUCAAACUCAUCUGUCAAUGGGCUCCAUGGAUAGGGACCAGCAGGGGAGUUAAUGGCCCUGGAGACAGAAGGGGCAGGAGGUCAGGAGUCAGGGCUUCGGGAGCAGCCAAGGGGCAUUGGGAGGAAAGAGACUGCAGAGAGACUGAAAGAUGCAGUCUGACCUGAGCCAUGAAGAAGUGCAGAGUCCCCAAGAGGCCAGAGAGCUCACGUCUGGUUAGAGUCGGGGUGUUUGAUGGGAAGAUGAAAGGAGGAGCUGGCAUCUGAGAUCUCAUGCGAUGUGUGGAAACAGGACGAGUUUUAAUCUGCUCAGCAUGCAGGUGUACAUGUGGGCCUCACUGUCCUCCACAGAAUGCCCCCAGGAAGGGGUGGGAGGAUGGAUUACAAAAUCCAACAGGCAACUAUCAGGUAGUACAGCUCCCAGAAGUCUGGUAAUCCCUCGUCGACAUGUCCUAUAAUGGAAGUAAAGAAUGCGAGAAACCAAAAA